rnacentral:lncRNA from 1 species
GAUUCCAUGCAGCACAGCGCGCCCCGCGCUAUGUUGUCAGAAACAUUCAAAUUCCUUGAAAUCUUCAUCCAAUUGCCACAUUUUGAUUAAGCAGAUGUAUUAUCCUGCAACAAGCAAACAACCUAUCAAAAGUAACAUGAAAUUACCAAAAACUAACAAUAUAUCAAGCUAAACGAACCUAAAUCGUAGGUUAUACACCUACUCAUCAGGGACCUACGUUGUAACCCCCGUCGGGGACCUACGUUGUAUCCCCCGUCGAGGACCUAUUUAGG